rnacentral:lncRNA from 1 species
GUUUCCCAGCACUCGCGCAGUUAGGCAGAUCCAUAUAACUUGUUCCGAGCUGGAGUGACAUGCAUUCCUUCCAGGCUAAAGCACAGAAGAGCCGUGUGAGCUCUCCAGGCUCCUCUUCUUCUGUCACAGUGACAAGUUGAAUUGCAGAUGGUGCAACUUCACUCAAUUUGGAUCCCUGAGGGACCAGGUGGUGCACGGGUUGGACGCGCAGCAUGUAAAGGUGGGAUGCCUACCACAGCAUUGCUUUCGCCAAGCGGUGCCAUGUCCUCACCCGGGAUCCGAGCUGGCGAACCCCAGGCCGCCAAGAAGCGGAACGUGUGAACUUAACUGCUGCGCCACUGGGCCGGCCCCACUAUUUUUAUUUUUAAUAAAAUUUGCAUUUAAGAUGCCUUAUUUUAAAGCAAUAAAGCAUAACUCCUUAUAUGUUUAAAACUCCUGUUAAAUGUUAUAAAUUAACGUCAUUUUCUGCUAAUUUACACCCCUACAAAUGACAUGGAAGGGCCAGAGAGGAGGUAAAAGGGCAAGAGAGAAGGCAACUGACAUUACUUUGCUAAGCUAUUAGUAUAUGAUCAUUCCUUUUUUUAUUCUAGCUUUAUUGAGAUAUAACUGACAUGUAUUGUAGUAAGUUUAAGGUGUACCAUGCGAUGAUUUGAUACACAUAUAUAAUGAAAAAUCUUUCCUACAGUAAGGUUAGUUAACAAAUCCUUUACCUGACAGAAUUACCACUUUGUUGUUGUUGUUAUGGCGAGAAAUUAAAGCUCUGCACUGAUAGCAACUUUCAAGUAUUUAAUACAGUAUAGUCAACUUUAGUUACCAUGCUGUACCUUAGGUCCCCAGAACCUAAGGAUAUAUUUUAAGCUGACGUCUUUCAACUGAAUGUCUGUACCCUUUGAACAAUAUCUCCCCAUUUCCUCCACCCUUUGCCCCUGUAAUCACCAUUCUACUCUCUGUUUCUAUGAGUUCACCAGUUUUAGAUUCCACAUAUAAGUGAUAUUGUGCAGUAUCUCUCUUUCUCUGUCUGACUAAAUUCACUUAGAAUAAUGCCUUCAGGGUCCAUCCAUGUUGUUGCAAACGGC